rnacentral:rRNA from 1 species
UACGGAGGGUGCGAGCGUUGUUCGGAAUCACUGGGCGUAAAGCGCGUGUAGGCGGCCCACUAAGUCUGAUGUGAAAGCCCGGGGCUCACCCCCGGAAGUGCAUUGGAAACUGGUGGACUCGAGUCCCGGAGAGGAGAGUGGAAUUCCUGGUGUAGCGGUGAAAUGCGGUAGAUAUCCGGAGGAACACCGGUGGCGAAGGCGGCUUCCUGG